ACGCUCGACACCUACGGGAGGCAGCAGUGAGGAAUAUUGGUCAAUGGGCGCUAGCCUGAACCAGCCAAGUAGCGUGAAGGAUGAAGGCUCUAUGGGUCGUAAACUUCUUUUAUAUAAGAAUAAAGUGCAGUAUGUAUACUGUUUUGUAUGUAUUAUAUGAAUAAGGAUCGGCUAACUCCGUGCCAGCAGCAGCGGUAAUCUGAGCGGGCUGGCAAGGC
rnacentral:rRNA from 1 species